GAAGUAGAUAGCUUGCUAUUUACGGAGUGAGUCGCGAACGGGUGAGUAACGCGUAGGUAACCUACCUUUUAGCGGGGGAUAACUAUUGGAAACGAUAGCUAAUACCGCAUAAUAUUCUAUAUUUCAUGAUAGAGGAUUGAAAGAUGCAACUGCAUCACUAAGAGAUGGACCUGCGUUGUAUUAGCUAGUUGGUGAGGUAACGGCUCACCAAGGCAACGAUACAUAGCCGACCUGAGAGGGUGAUCGGCCACACUGGGACUGAGACACGGCCCAGACUCCUACGGGAGGCAGCAGUAGGGAAUCUUCGGCAAUGGGGGGAACCCUGACCGAGCAACGCCGCGUGAGUGAAGAAGGUUUUCGGAUCGUAAAGCUCUGUUGUAAGAGAAGAACGAGUGUGAGAGUGGAAAGUUCACACUGUGACGGUAUCUUACCAGAAAGGGGCGGCUAACUACGUGCCAGCAGCCGCGGUAAUACGUAGGUCCCGAGCGUUGUCCGGAUUUAUUGGGCGUAAAGCGAGCGCAGGCGGUUUGAUAAGUCUGAAGUUAAAGGCUGUGGCUCAACCAUAGUUCGCUUUGGAAACUGUCAAACUUGAGUGCAGAAGGGGAGAGUGGAAUUCCAUGUGUAGCGGUGAAAUGCGUAGAUAUAUGGAGGAACACCGGUGGCGAAAGCGGCUCUCUGGUCUGUAACUGACGCUGAGGCUCGAAAGCGUGGGGAGCAAACAGGAUUAGAUACCCUGGUAGUCCACGCCGUAAACGAUGAGUGCUAGGUGUUAGGCCCUUUCCGGGGCUUAGUGCCGCAGCU
rnacentral:rRNA from 1 species